AUUAAAUCAGUUAUAGUUUAUUUGAUAGUACCUUACUACUUGGAUAACCGUAGUAAUUCUAGGGCUAAUACAUGCAAACAAACGCGACUUCUGGAAGCGUUGUAUUUAUUAGACAAAAAACCAAUACUGCGUCUUUUUGGCGCAGUGUCUCUGGUGAUUCAUAAUAAAUUGACGAAUCGCAUGGCUUUAUGCCGGCGAUGAAUCAUUCAAAUUUCUGCCCUAUCAAAUUUUGAUGGUAGGAUAGAGGCCUACCAUGUUUUUAACGGGUAACGGGGAAUUAGGGUUUGAUUCCGGAGAGGGAGCCUGAGAAACGGCUACCACAUCCAAGGAAGGCAGCAGGCGCGCAAAUUACCCAAUCUCGACACGAGGAGGUAGUGACAAUAAAUAACAAUGUAGGGCUUUUGUAAGUCUUGCAAUUGGAAUGAGAACAAUUUAAAAACCUUAACGAGGAUCAAUUGGAGGGCAAGUCUGGUGCCAGCAGCCGCGGUAAUUCCAGCUCCAAUAGCGUAUAUUAAUGUUGUUGCAGUUAAAAAGCUCGUAGUUGGAUUUCGGGAUGGGGCAACUGGUCUACUCUUUGAGUUUGUACUAGUUGGUCUGUUCUUCUGCUUGGGAAAAUCAGUUGCUGUUCUUUAUUGCGCGAUUGAGGGACUCAGGCCUUUUACUUUGAAAAAAUUAGAGUGUUCAAAGCAGGCUUAUGCCUUGAAUACAUUAGCAUGGAAUAAUAAAAUAGGACUUUGGUACUAUUUUGUUGGUUUCUAGGACCGAAGUAAUGAUUAAUAGGGAUAGUUGGGGGCAUUAGUAUUUCGUUGUCAGAGGUGAAAUUCUUGGAUUUAUGAAAGACUAACUUCUGCGAAAGCAUCUGCCUAGGAUAUUUUCAUUAAUCAAGAACGAAAGUUAGGGGAUCGAAGACGAUCAGAUACCGUCGUAGUCUUAACCAUAAACUAUGCCGACUAGGGAUUGGGAUAAGGUUCAUUUAUGACUCCAUCAGCGUCUUCCGAGAAAUCAAAGAUUUUGGGUUCCGGGGGGAGUAUGGUCGCAAGGCUGAAACUUAAAGGAAUUGACGGAGGGGCACCACCAGGAGUGGAGCCUGCGGCUUAAUUUGACCCAACACGGGGAAACUUACCAGGUCCAGACAUAGUUAGGAUUGACAGAUUGAGAGCUCUUUCUUGAUUCUAUGCUUGGUGGUGCAUGGCCGUUCUUAGUUGGUGGAUUGAUUUGUCUGCUUAAUUGCGAUAACGAACGAGACCUUAACCUGCUAAAUAGCUACGCGAACCCUCGGUUCGUGGCCAGCUUCUUAGAGGGGACUUUUGAUGUUUAAUCAAUGGAAGUUUGAGGCAAUAACAGGUCUGUGAUGCCCUUAGAUGUCCUGGGCCGCACGCGCGCUACACUGAUGCAUUCACCGAGUACAUCCCUUGGCCGGAAGGUCUGGGUAAUCUGGUAAAGUCUGUCGUGAUGGGGAUAGAUCACUGCAACUGUGAUCUUGAACGAGGAAUGCCUAGUAAGUGCAAGUCAUCAGCUUGUACUGAUUACGUCCCUGCCCUUUGUACACACCGCCCGUCGCUCCUACCGAUUGAAUGAUCCGGUGAAGUCUUCGGACUGUCCGCUCUGCAAGGGUUCGCCCAUGCGCUGCGGAUGGAAAGUUGCCUAAACCUUAUCAUUUAGAGGAAGGAGAAGUCG
rnacentral:rRNA from 1 species